ensembl:lncRNA
CUUAACUCUUAUCCUACACCUUUUAUAUUUCAAGGUGUUCCUGUAUUUUUUCAAGAAGUCGCUUGUGCGAACAAGGUCAAACGGAAGUAAAGAUACACUGCUUCAACGAGCACUUCCGGUAAUCAAUUUCGCUACGAUAAAGACUUAUAAAGUGGAGCAAUAAUCGGAUGAAAGCUACAAUAGCCACUGUUUGUUUGCAGUUUUAUCUUUUUAUUUUUAAACAAGCGUGAAAUGGUUAAAAAGACGCAGAGUAGUUCGGAUGCACAGACGAAUUUGCAUUUCUUUAAAGAUCUAGAUCCUCGGUGUGUCUCAUUUUAUAAAUCGAACCGCACCGCUUAAAAAACUGGCUGGUAAUUGACUACAAAACACGAGGAUAAGCCACUGAUCACCAGAAGAUGCGUUAAUUGCUCCGUGCGGUUUGAUGCUUCGAGAGACACAUCUGUCUGCUGAGAUUUCAGGCCGUCUUGGGGAAGGGCGUAUGGUGUAGCUGUGAUUACGCCACGAGCAGAUCCCUGUGGCGCGGCUCCAGCCCAACGGCCUGCACAAGAAUCCCUCUCCUUGCAUUUUUCAUGAGAGAGAGCAGGCCUUCUGCAUGCAGUAUUCAUGACCGCUCUUGCGUCUUCCGAACAAAGCCUGACAUAUCACUGGAUAUGCCACAAUGACACAACUAGCUGUCAGUGUGGUAAAGGUGGGUGAUGACCUGUUAACCCGGCGCUGGGUUCGGUAGCUCGCGAACACAGGGUUCUGUUUUCUUUCACUUUCGUGACAGUUAUGGAUGCCGGUUCGACCGACAGUAUCUGUUUGCAGAUCUCUGAAUCAGAUGGUUUGACUGCGUCCAUUAGUGUCUCUCUGCUGCAAAUGAACUUUAAUGGACACAUUCAGUAGUGUUCAGUACUGAUUAUUUGAGUGUCUUCCUAAAGUUAUGACUUUGUUGGCUACAAAAAACAAUUUAUUUCAUCAUAUGUACAUACACACACCAUUAGAGUCUGACUGUAUUUACUCAAUAAAUAUAAAUAUAUAAUAAAUAUAAAAAAUUAUAGAUUUAUCAAAUAAAUACAUAUAAAUACAUAUUUAUUUUUUAUUUUAUUUUAUUUUACAUUUCUAUUUUAGAUUUUUUUUUAUUCUAUUCUACUUUAAGUUGGUAAGCCCUUGAGUUAGUUAAUUAGGACAAAGAUAAUACUCUGUAAAAAUAAUUUGUAAAUCAAAUAUCACCAAAGUAUGUUUUUCAAGACAAUACUAUUUCAGUGUAAUUUCAUGUUUAAUUCAAUGUGUUACUUGCCUUAUCUUUGUACUUCUUUGUGAAAUUUACUAGCAGUUUCUGAGUAAAAAUAUAAGUCGACCCCAGGACAUGGAAUAGCUUGUUCUUUAAUCCCUUUUCUGAUGACCGGUGUCAUAAAGUGAUCUUGUAAUAUCGCAAAAGACUCCAAACACACAAAGCCAUUGAGAUUAAUAGCCUCAAAUAUCUGAUCACGACCCCCGUUUGAAAUUGCUCGAGGCAGAAAAUGUAAACCCAUUAAAACGUCCAAAUCCAGCCAAAGUAAUUGCCCUGGUAAAGCAUAGAUGCACUGAGUUGGUCUGCUUAAGCAGGUUUUGAGUGUGUGUUUGGUCCAGAUGAGCACAGAUUACUCAUACGUCGGUGUAGCAUGACUUCCUAAAGGGAUCGGGAUGUUCUAGUUGAGCGGAGUGAAUCUGGUUAUGACAGAUCUGUUGACGUGACCUUCUGUGCGUCUCUGAGGGUCUCUGUCCUGUCAGCGAUGGGUAUCACACACAAGAACAGACUCUGAGAAUGGAAACAAGGCACGCUCUCAAGCGCUGUAAGUGCCAGGGAGUCGUCUUACAAGAAACACUUAUUGCGUUUAGUAUUGAGCAUGAUGUUAUGAAAAAUUCAUAGUGGGAUUGUGCUGUUUGCAUUGUCCUGAGAGUGUGUGAGUGAAAGUGAGAAAACUGGAAAAGAUCAGGCCGGAUACUCUCAGAGACGGUUCAGUAUAUACGCUGGUUCCAACACAGCGUUAUAUCACGGCCAGUUUAUCCU